UGAAAGAUUUGUUGAAUAAAACUGCAAAUUAAGAAGUUAUUCGAUCAUCAGUAAACUUGAAAAAUUAUCCUAUGGGCAUAACAAUACUAAUCCGAAACAUAAGAGCUUAUACCAAGGUUUCAUGAUACCGGGUCUGUCAGGAGAUUUAUGUACUGCAUGAAGUUCACAAGUGAAGGAAAUCAGGAAAAUCAUGAAGUUCUAUUUUAAGAAAUCUUUGAGAAAAGAAAAAGAUGGAGUUGUGGAGUACUUUACAAUAAUUAGAAACCUAAUUAAAAUAUUGUUCUUUUUUUCAUUAAUAAAUGGUUAAGCCCA